rnacentral:rRNA from 1 species
CCGGCCGCAUGGUCUGGUGGUGGAAAGAUUUUUUGGUUGGGGAUGGACUCGCGGCCUAUCAGCUUGUUGGUGAGGUAAUGGCUCACCAAGGCGACGACGGGUAGCCGGCCUGAGAGGGUGACCGGCCACACUGGGACUGAGACACGGCCCAGACUCCUACGGGAGGCAGCAGUGGGGAAUAUUGCACAAUGGGCGAAAGCCUGAUGCAGCAACGCCGCGUGAGGGAUGACGGCCUUCGGGUUGUAAACCUCUUUUAGUAGGGAAGAAGCGAAAGUGACGGUACCUGCAGAAAAAGCACCGGCUAACUACGUGCCAGCAGCCGCGGUAAUACGUAGGGUGCAAGCGUUGUCCGGAAUUAUUGGGCGUAAAGAGCUCGUAGGCGGUUUGUCGCGUCUGCUGUGAAAUCCCGAGGCUCAACCUCGGGCUUGCAGUGGGUACGGGCAGACUAGAGUGCGGUAGGGGAGAUUGGAAUUCCUGGUGUAGCGGUGGAAUGCGCAGAUAUCAGGAGGAACACCGAUGGCGAAGGCAGAUCUCUGGGCCGUAACUGACGCUGAGGAGCGAAAGCGUGGGGAGCGAACAGGAUUAGAUACCCUGGUAGUCCACGCCGUAAACGUUGGGCGCUAGAUGUAGGGACCUUUCCACGGUUUCUGUGUCGUAGCUAACGCAUUAAGCGCCCCGCCUGGGGAGUACGGCCGCAAGGCUAAAACUCAAAGGAAUUGACGGGGGCCCGCACAAGCGGCGGAGCAUGCGGAUUAAUUCGAUGCAACGCGAAGAACCUUACCAAGGCUUGACAUACACCGGAAACGGCCAGAGAUGGUCGCCCCCUUGUGGUCGGUGUACAGGUGGUGCAUGGUUGUCGUCAGCUCGUGUCGUGAGAUGUUGGGUUAAGUCCCGCAACGAGCGCAACCCUCGUUCUAUGUUGCCAGCGCGUUAUGGCGGGGACUCAUAGGAGACUGCCGGGGUCAACUCGGAGGAAGGUGGGGAUGACGUCAAAUCAUCAUGCCCCUUAUGUCUUGGGCUUCACGCAUGCUACAAUGGCCGGUACAAAGGGCUGCGAUACCGUAAGGUGGAGCGAAUCCCAAAAAGCCGGUCUCAGUUCGGAUUGAGGUCUGCAACUCGACCUCAUGAAGUCGGAGUCGCUAGUAAUCGCAGAUCAGCAACGCUGCGGUGAAUACGUUCCCGGGCCUUGUACACACCGCCCGUCAAGUCAUGAAAGUCGGUAACACCCGAAGCCGGUGGCCUAACCCUUGUGGAAGGAGCCGUCGAAGGUGGGAUCGGUGAUUAGGACUAAGUCGUAACAAGGUAGCCGUACCGGAAGGUGCGGCUGGAUCACCUCCUUU